rnacentral:tRNA from 1 species
GCAUCGGUGGCUUAGUGGUAGAAUGCUCGCCUGCCACGCGGGCGGCCCGGGUUCGAUUCCCAGCCGAUGCA